rnacentral:rRNA from 1 species
CACGUAGGGCGCAAGCGUUGUCCGGAAUUAUUGGGCGUAAAGAGCUUGUAGGCGGUUUGUCGCGUCUGCUGUGAAAAUCCGGGGCUCAACCCCGGACUUGCAGUGGGUACGGGCAGACUAGAGUGUGGUAAGGGAGACUGGAAUUCCUGGUGUAGCGGUGAAAUGCGCAGAUAUCAGGAGGAACACCGAUGGCGAAGGCAGGUCUCUGGGCCACUACUGACGCUGAGAAGCGAAAGCAUGGGGAGCGAACAGG